rnacentral:rRNA from 11 species
GACUCUCGGCAACGGAUAUCUCGGCUCACGCAUCGAUGAAGAACGUAGCAAAAUGCGAUACUUGGUGUGAAUUGCAGAAUCCGUGAACCAUCGAGUUUUUGAACGCAAGUGCGCCCGAAGCCAUUCGGUUGAGGGCACGUCUGCCUGGGCGCAC